rnacentral:rRNA from 1 species
GACGAACCGUGCGAACGUUAUUCGGAUUCACUGGGCUUAAAGCGCGUGUAGGCGGCCCGGCACGUCGGUCGUUGAAAAGCCCCCGGCUCAACCGGGGAAGUCGCGCCGAUACGGCCGAGCUGGAGGGGUGUAGGGGGCCGUGAACGUUCCGGUGGAGCGGUGAUAUGCGUUGAGAUCGGAAGGAACGCCCCGAGGCGAAAGCGAGGCCCUGGACACUUACUGACGCUGAGACGCGAAAGCCAGGGGAGCAAACGGGAUUAGAAA